rnacentral:rRNA from 1 species
UACGUAGGGACCAAGCGUUGUCCGGAAUCAUUGGGCGUAAAGAGCUCGUAGGCGGCUUGUCGCGUCGGUUGUGAAAGCCCGGGGCUUAACUCCGGGUCUGCAGUCGAUACGGGCAGGCUAGAGUUCGGUAGGGGAGACUGGAAUUCCGGGUGUAGCGGUGAAAUGCGUAGAUAUCCGGAGGAACACCGGUGGCGAAGGCGGCUUCCUGGACCGACACUGACGCUGAGGCGCGAAAGCUAGGGGAGCAAACGGG